rnacentral:rRNA from 1 species
CUUUACUGUAGCCUGGUAUUGGGUUCGGGCUUUGACUGCGCAGGAUAGGUGGGAGACUAUGAAGCAAUCCUUGUGGGGAUUGUGGAGUCAACGGUGAGAUACCACUCUGUCAGAGCUAGAAUUCUAACCUUCACCCGUUAUCCGGGGAAGGAACCGUAUCAGGGGGGCAGUUUGACUGGGGCGGUCGCCUCCUAAAGUGUAACGGAGGCGCGCAAAGGUGUUCUCAGGCUGGUUGGAAAUCAGCCGUAGAGUGUAAAGGCAGAAGAACGCUUGACUGUGAGAGUGACAACUCGAGCAGGGUGGAAACACGGCCUUAGUGAUCCGACGGUAUGUGCGUGGAAAUGCCGUCGCUCAACGGAUAAAAGUUA